UUAGAUACNNUGGUAGUCCACGCAGUAAACGAUGAAUGNUAGUUGUCCGGGGCGAUUGAGUUUUGGGUGACACAGCGAAAGCGUUAAGCAUUCCACUGGGGGAGUACGCCGGGCAACGGUGAAACUCAAAGGAAUUGACGGGGGCCCGCACAAGCGGAGGAACAUGUGGUUUAAUUCGAUGAUACGCGAGGAACCUUACCCGGGCUCAAACGCAGGAGGGAUGUUUUUGAAAGGAGGCAGCCAGCAAUGGUCUCCUGCGAGGUGCUGCAUGGUUGUCGUCAGCUCGUGCCGUGAGGUGUCGGCUUAAGUGCCAUAACGAGCGCAACCCCUACNNUACAGUUGCCAUCGCGUGAUGGCGGGCACUCUGUGGGGACUGCCUGCGCAAGCAGUGAGGAAGGCGGGGAUGACGUCAAAUCAGCACGGCCCUUACGUCCGGGGCGACACACGUGUUACAAUGGCAGGUACAGCGGGAAGCCACCCGGCGACGGGGCGCGGAACCCGAAAACCUGUCUCAGUUCGGAUUGGAGUCUGCAACCCGACUCCAUGAAGCUGGAUUCGCUAGUAAUCGCGCAUCAGCCACGGCGCGGUGAAUACGUUCCCGGGCCUUGUACACACCGCCCGUCAAGCCAUGGAAGCCGGGGGUGCCUGAAGUGCGUGACCGCAAGGAGCGCCCUAGGGUAAAACCGGUGACUGGGGCUAAGUCGUAACAAGG
rnacentral:rRNA from 1 species